UACGAAGGUGGCAAGCGUUACUCGGAAUUACUAGGCGUAAAGGGCAGGUAGGCGGUUUGAUGAGUCUGUUGUGAAAGCUCCCGGCUUAACUGGGAGAGGUCAACAGAUACUGUCGAACUUGAGUAUGGGAGAGGGUACUGGAAUUCCUGGUGUAGCGGUGAAAUGCGCAGAGAUCAGGAGGAACACCGAUGGCGAAAGCAGGUACCUGGACCAUUACUGACGCUCAGCUGCGAAAGCUAGGGGAGCAAACAGG
rnacentral:rRNA from 1 species